rnacentral:tRNA from 1 species
GCCCCCGUAGCUCAGUGGAUAGAGCAGCGGCCUCCGGAGCCGUGCGCGCACGUUCGAGUCGUGUCGGGGGCA